rnacentral:rRNA from 1 species
CCUACGGGUGGCUGCAGUGGGGAAUAUUGCACAAUGGGCGCGAGCCUGAUGCAGCCAUGCCGCGUGUGUGAAGAAGGCCUUCGGGUUGUAAAGCACUUUCAGCGGGGAGGAAGGCGUUAAGGUUAAUAACCUUGGCGAUUGACGUUACCCGCAGAAGAAGCACCGGCUAACUCCGUGCCAGCAGCCGCGGUAAUACGGAGGAUGCAAGCGUUAAUCGGAAUUACUGGGCGUAAAGCGCACGCAGGCGGUCUGUCAAGUCGGAUGUGAAAUCCCCGGGCUCAACCUGGGAACUGCAUUCGAAACUGGCAGGCUAGAGUCUUGUAGAGGGGGGUAGAAUUCCAGGUGUAGCGGUGAAAUGCGUAGAGAUCUGGAGGAAUACCGGUGGCGAAGGCGGCCCCCUGGACAAAGACUGACGCUCAGGUGCGAAAGCGUGGGGAGCAAACAGGAUUAGAUACCCGUGUAGUC